GUGCUCGCUUCCGCAGCAUGUUUACUAAAAUUGGAAUGAUACAGAGUAGAUUAGCAUGGCCCCUGUGCAAGGAAAACAAGCAUAUCUGUGAAGCAUUCCAUAUUUUU